GAAUGUGGGGGCGAUCUGGCUGCGACAUCUGUCACCAGGGUUGAUUCGGCUGAUCUGGCUGGCUAGGCGGGUGUCCCCUUCCUCCCUCACCACUCCAUGUGUGUCCUUCUUGAAGCUGCGCGCUCGUGGAAGAGGACGACCAUCCCUGAUAGAGGAGGACCGUCUUCGGUCAAGGGUAUACGAGUAGCUGCGCUCCCCUGCUAGAACCUCCAAACACGCUCUCAACUGGGGAAGAGCAGUGGCACCAGCAGUGAGCACACUGGAGAGAAGACCGACCUAUUC
rnacentral:snRNA from 1 species